CCUACGGGAGGCAGCAGUGAGGAAUAUUGGUCAAUGGACGAGAGUCUGAACCAGCCAAGCAGCGUGAAGGAAGAAUGCCCUAUGGGUUGUAAACUUCUUUUAUAGGGGAAUAAAAUGUCCCACGUGAGGGAUUUUGUAUGUACCAUAUGAAUAAGGAUAGGCUAACUCCGUGCCAGCAGCCGCGGUAAUACGGAGGAUCCGAGCGUUAUCCGGAUUGAUUGGGUUUAAAGGGAGCGUAGGGGGAUUGUUAAGUCAGUUGUGAAAGUUUGCGGCUCAUCCGUAAAAUUGCAGUUGAAACUGGCAGUCUUGCGUACAGUAGCGGUGGGCGGAAUUCGUUGUGUAGCGGUGAAAUGCUUAGAUAUC
rnacentral:rRNA from 1 species